rnacentral:lncRNA from 1 species
UCUGGACAAGCCAAGGCGGAGACUCUGAUUGGGAGACUUCACAGACACUACCACCAGUGGGCUGCUGCUACUUCUGCUACCUCCAGAUGCCGCUGAAAGGAAACAUAUGAUGUGAUGCUGAUGAUGUCAGAAAUCUCUUAACAAAGAUUAAUUUAUAAAAUAAGCAGCAAAAAAAAGGUAGUUAAGCAUUAUUCUGCUUUCCAGUGUCUAUCAAGCAAUAAACUAGAUCAAAAGAACAGAAUGUUCUAAAGAGCAGAAAUUAAUACAGUAUUGCCUAUUUCCAAACAUCCCAGAAGCCAAGGUAAUGACACUAAAACCUCACCAUGAAAGCUGAAAAAGGAAGGCUGGGAACAAAUAAUGCUAGUUGUAAAGGCAUACAAAAAUGCAUAUAAUUAUAAUUUCUAAAGUAAUAGAAAAAGCAAAUGCAUUUUUAAGGUCCUGCAAUUUUUACAAGUAGUCCUUGAAGAGUCUAUUUUUCAAUUAUUAAAUACCUUUAAAAAUGGCAAAUAUUGUUAUUUAUUUAUACUAGUUUCAUUAUACUAUUAUCCUAAUGUCGCAAUUAUUUCCAUCUAUUUCAAAAUUAUCCACAUGAAUGUUCACAGUUGAUGGUGACUGUAGUUGCUCGCCUACACAACAGUAUUAUAAAUUUAAAAUAAAUAAUUAUACCUGCUACCCUAUAACUCAGACUAUACUGCUUUAUUGUUUUCUAGUUUGAAAGGUAUAAAAUAGUAUUUUAUUUUAAUUUACACUUCCUUAAUUACCAGUGAGACUGAAACUCUUCAUAUUUUCUUGUUGUAUUAAUAGUUCUUGGGGACACUGUUAUAUUUAUGCCUCUGGCUAAUUUUACUUUUGGGGUCUUGGUGGUCUUCUCCAGUUGUAUAAGAUAGGUAACAAACUGGCAAUCUGAGGGCCAAAUCUAGCUCUCAGAUAUAUUGUUUUGGUUCACAUGGUGCUAACAACAACAACAAAAAAAAUCAACUUACAAAAAUUAGCAGAUUUCAUAUUAAAAUCUGGAUUUCUGGCUUCUCUUGAAAACAGCAAUCAGAUCUAGAAAUACCAAGCCCAUAAUCUUGCAUGGAAACAAUACGAUGGAGCUGAGUAGCAGCUGCUUCCUUCAAAAGGGUACGCGCUCCUGAGUCCAACAAAAUUCCUACCCACGCAAGUCUACUGCAUGGGCCCAAUUCACUCGUUUACAUCACUUGCCUGACUGUCACAUGCUGACUUGAUAAGCACUUUGUGCUUGAUGACAUUAACUCUUUAUCCAUCAUUCCACUGUUUCCUUGUAUUUUUUUAAUUAUGCUACUUUUAAAUUUCUAUAGUUAUAUCACUCCAUUUAAAUUUCCUUCAUUGGGGAAGCAUUAAUUAUUUUUAGAAAUAUACUAAGUAUUACUCUUUGAAUGAUAUGACAUCAAGUAAUUAAUCUUCCCUCCUUUCCUUCUCCAAAAAGUUUUUAAGUCCUCAUUAAAAAUCUUAGAAGUUGUAAACCAGAAUGGACUUUAAAGAUUACAGUUGUUCCCAAUAUUUCACAUGAUGAAAUGAAGACUCUGUAAGUUAAGUAAUCAUGCAGCCUCACAGCUCACGCCUAAAUCUAUGAAUAGUAGUCAGCAGGGGAGUGAGCACUGUGGACCAAUCAAGAGAGGCCCCUCAAAAGAAAAACAGGAGUAGAAUUGGAAGGGCUCAGGCAAGGAGAGGGGACACAUGAAGAAAGACACACCAGGCAGAGGAGGAUUAAGAGAGGCCCUGAGAGAGGCAUACAUACAACAUGUUUGAGAGACAAAAAGUGUUUCAAUUUCACUGAAGUGGACGGUUCAUGCAGGUGGAUGACAGAAAGUAAAGACAGGACUGGUUAGGAAAGGCAGCAACAAUUUGGGCCUGGAUUAGGGUUUUAGUAAUGUCAAGAAGGGUGAAGGUCAAAGAAUUCUUGAAGGAUCCAUGAGACUUGGCUGUGGAGCAAAAGAAAACAGAGAAGUGAAAUUUGUGAAAGCAAGAGGUUGAGUUUGCUAGGGCAUUUGUUAAAUGCUAGAAUUGCCACAUAUAGAUCCCAAGGCUUCAGUCAGACUGUGGAGGUCAGCAGGUCCUGAGCAAAAGAUUUGCUGCCAGAAAUACAUACUUCAGGAAUCUCAAAUGUUUACACCCUUUAACACUGUAAUUUUCCUACUAGAAAUUUUAUCCUAGGAAAAUAAUCAGUAAUAUGCCCAGAGAUUUCUAAAAUAAGGACAUUUGCACUUAUUGCAAUCUUAUUUAUAGCACUGAAAAAAUAAUAAACCUGGAUGUCCAAUAAUAAGGAAUGGUUAAAUAAAUGAAUAUAUGCAGCAACCAGGAACUUUGGUUUUGAAGAAUAUGUAAUAAUAUGGGGAAAUGCUCACACAUGAUGUUUGUAACUAGGAAAAAAAUUUACCAGUGAUAAUUUUCCAAGCUCCUGUCCUUGAUGAUAAAUAUGCCAUACCUGGUGGGACCCAUUUAGGUUUCUUGCUUUCAGCUGAAGGACUGCGUAUUUCUAAUGGUUUCCUAGUGGUAUCUGAAGACAGAGAAACCUUUUUUGGCAAGGACUGAGAUUCUGAUUUGACGGCAGCUGGAGCAGAGUCCACCGAAGUCACUUAUUUGAAAAAUAUACGUAAAAAUGUUUGUCAUGCAGGAAGAAAAAGUAAGUCUAGCAUAUAUGUGUAAAAAUUAUAAAGUUACAUAAUCAUAUAAAAAAUAAACUUAUUAAUCAACAAACAUUUAUUGAGAGCCUAAGAAUAGCCAUCUUUUAUGAGCAUUAAUAUGCCAGGCAGUGUGGUAGGCAUAUCACACACAUUACCUCUAACUCUUUACAACAACUCCAAUACAGAUAUUACUAUCCCCACUCUCAGAGAAGGAAACAGAGACGUUAAGCAAUCUGCCUGUAGUCUGACAGCUAGUAAGCAUCUAAGCUUAGAAACCAGAUUUUCCUCCAAAAUCCCAUCCUUGUAACUAACCAUUACACAAUAGUGUCUCGUGAGUAUGUGUCAGUGAGAUUAUGUGUCAGGCUCUAGGGUUAGAAACAUGGCUCCUGCUCCCAAGGACUUUAAGGUUUAGUCACUAGACUUCAGUGGGAAGAACAGGAAAGUAAAGAUGUGUAAAAUGCAGUGUGGUAAGGGAUAUGGCAGACUCUAAAGGUAUGCCAAGUAGAAAAGGAAACUGCAAUCUGGGGGUAUGUGUUUUAAAGUUAGAAGGAGGUGAGUGAGGAUGGUCUGAACCAAAUCAAGAUUGAAGAGUAAAGGUGAAUUGAGAGAAGCUUUCCAGGCAGAGGGAGUACAGUGUGCAAAGAUGGAGGAUGCACCAAGUUCCAGAAUCAGUAGUACUGACUGGUUCAGUGUACGGCUGGAGCAGAAAUCUCAAGGGUAGGAAAUGUGAGAGAUAGACACUGGGUGUAGAUCACUUAUGAAGAGCUUUGCAGACCAUGUACAAGAGUCUGGCUAGUCACAGUCAUGCACAUAUUUUUCUCAGGAGUGAUUUGUAUUUUAAAAACAUCUUUCUGGUGGUAGUGUAGGAGAAGUAGGCUACUUAGAAGGUUAUUAUGGUAAUCAGGUAAGAGGAAAUGGGGGCCUGCUAAGGUGGAGAAUAGAAGGAAAACAGCACAUUAGAUAUGUUUUGGCAAAAAUAGGUGGGAGGCAGCAAUGGAGAUGAAGAAAUAAUCCAUGACUUGCAGGUUCCUGUCAUGGGCACACUUUGAUGGUGCCAUUUAUCUAGAGAAUAAACACAAGCCUGGAAGUAUGUUUUGGUUCUAUUUAUUUAUUUUUUUGGUGGUGGGGAGGGAGGAGAGGUGGCAUUAAGUUCACUUUCAGACAGUGCUUGUUUUGAGAUACCUAGGGGUAUUUCAACACAUAUAAACAUGAACAUUUUCACCGUAUACUCUUCCUAAUGUUAACAUCUGCAUCCUCUAGAUCAGCACUGUCUGAUGGAACUUUCUGUGAUUAUAGAAAUGUUUUGUGUUUUGUGCUGUCCAAUAUUUUUUCUAUCAAGGGAAAAUUAUAACAUGUGCUAGACACAAUUCGCAAAGUUUACCCAAUACAUUACUAGUAGGACUAAAAAUAUAAUCCAUUUUUCCUAAUUCCUAGUCCUAUCACUUAAUGGUUAAAUUUCAUUUCUAAUAUUAUAUAUUAAAUCUCAGUUGUGAAGCAACUUGCUCCAAGGGAUAGAGAAAAGAUUUUAAAUGGUAAACUCCAACUUGGGAACUGAAGUUUUAUUUUUAGUUAUUAGUGUGUCUUGGUGAAGAAGCAUAAACAAACAUCUAAAGAAAAUACAAAAUAUAUUCAUGGUGUUAAUAACUUUUUCCUAUUAUAGCUUGUAGUAGGCAGAAUACUGGCUCCUCAGAUGUCUACAUCGUCAUUGCCAGAACAUGUGAAUAUGUUACCUUACAUGGCAAAGGGACUUUGCAGAUGUAAUUAAGAAUCUUAGAUGGGGAAAUUACACUGAAUUAUCUGGAGGGGCCCAAUGUAAUCACAGGGUCCUUAUAAGUAAACGUGAGCAGGAAGAAAGUCAGAGUCGAGUAACAUGAUGUGAGAAAGUCCCUGCCAUUGCUCUCUGAAGGUGGAAGGGGCCACAAGCCAAGAAAUGCACCCUCAAGGAGCUAGAAAAGACAAGAACGUGGUUUGUCUCCUAGAGCCUCCACAAAGGACCACAGUUUUGCUGACUACUUGAUUUUAGCCCAGUGAGAACCACUUUCGACUUCUGAUACUCAGAAUUUCUGGAACCCAGAUGAAGUCAUCAAUUAAAAAAAAAACACUCUAAUUAAAAAACCUCAUUAAUUCAAAAUACAGGAGAGAGAAGAAUAUAACUCAAUCAGUACUUAAUUCUCAUUUAAUUCUUAGUAAGUACUCAGCAACAGGCUACUGAAGGUGACAGCAGCUCCUAUGAAUAAAUGGAAAGACUAAAUAAUGGAACUUUUAAUAUCAAUAGCAUAUAUAUUAAAUAAACCAAGACAUAAAAAUGAUUAUCAAGAAAUAAAACAAACUCAGUUAAUGACAGUUAUAUUUUGCAAUAACCUAUCAUAUACUAUGAACUCAAAAAUAUCCUAACUUCUUUUACACAAGAAACAGGUAUUCCAUGUUCGAGUCACCAUAAAUUUUAAACGUUUUAUCAUAAAAGUAGUUUCUAAUGGAAUUUGUUUUGGGGAAAUAAAAAAAAAAAAAGGGCCCUAAACAUGUGGCAAAAGAGCUCUCAAAUCAGACUAAGUAAAGCACAAAAGCAAAAAAUUAGAAUUAUGCAAACUUCCUUGUUUUGUCUGGAGAAAAUAUGGUCCAAGAUACAGCUUAGACUCUGAAUGGACAAACAUGGGUUCAAAUUCUAGCCCUUCACCUAUUAGAUGUAAGAUUUCCAACAAAUUAUUUAACCUCUCUGACACUCAGUUUUUCACUGUAGAAUGCAGGUGACAACAGCUAACCACAGACGGCAGCCAUGAGUACCAAAGUGAGGUCAUAUACAGUAAGUGCUAGCAUACGUAGUGGAGUCAGCAUUCUUGUCCGCUUUUCUCCCUUCCCCACCCCACCUUCCUUUUACAUAUUUUAACAAGAAAUGGACGUUAGGAAAAUGUUAAAGAGAACAAAGGCAAAAAUAAGAAAAAUACGGCAAACAAACCACAUACAUUUC